GCUGUAGCUCAGUGGUAGAGUGAUUGCCUAGCACGCACAAGGACCCAGGUUCAAUUCCCAGUACUGCA
rnacentral:tRNA from 1 species